rnacentral:rRNA from 1 species
CUGCUCAAAGAUUAAGCCAUGCAUGUCUAAGUAUAAACAAAUUUGUACUGUGAAACUGCGAAUGGCUCAUUAAAUCAGUUAUAGUUUAUUUGAUGGUACAUUACUACAUGGAUAACUGUGGUAAUUCUAGAGCUAAUACAUGCGUUAAAAUCCCGACUUACGAAGGGAUGUAUUUAUUAGAUACAAAACCAAUUCGUGGCAACACGAUAUUGGUGAGUCAUAAUAACUUUUCGAAUCGCAUGGCCUUGAGCCGGCGAUGCAUCAUUCAAAUAUCUGCCCUAUCAACUUUGGAUGGUAGGAUAGAGGCCUACCAUGGUUUUAACGGGUAACGGGGAAUAAGGGUUCGAUUCCGGAGAGGGAGCCUGAGAAACGGCUACCACAUCCAAGGAAGGCAGCAGGCGCGCAACUUACCCAAUCCCGACACGGGGAGGUAGUGACAAUAAAUAACAAUACAGGGCUUCUUUUUGGGUCUUGUAAUUGGAAUGAGUACAAUUUAAAUACCUUAACGAGGAACAGUAUUGGAGGGCAAGCUG